CACGUAGGGCGGCAAGCGUUGUCCGGAAUUAUUGGGCGUAAAGAGCUCGUAGGCGGUCUGUUGCGUCUGCUGUGAAAACCCGGGGCUUAACCCCUGGCUUGCAGUGGAUACGGACAGACUAGAGGUAGGUAGGGGAGAAUGGAAUUCCCGGUGUAGCGGUGAAAUGCGCAGAUAUCGGGAGGAACACCGGUGGCGAAGGCGGUUCUCUGGGCCUUACCUGACGCUGAGGAGCGAAAGCGUGGGGAGCGAACAGG
rnacentral:rRNA from 1 species